rnacentral:tRNA from 1 species
GGCCCCAUAGUCUAGAGGCCUAGGACACCAGGUUCUCAUCCUGGCGACACGGGUUCGAAUCCCGUUGGGGUCACCA